rnacentral:tRNA from 1 species
GGGGAAGUGGCGAAACGGUAUACGCAGUCGCCUCAAAAGCGACCGAGUGAGAGCUCAUGUGGGUUCGAGUCCCACCUUCCCUA